AUUGAACGCUGGCGGCAGGCCUAACACAUGCAAGUCGAGCGAGCGGCGGACGGGUGAGUAAUGUCUGGGAAACUGCCUGAUGGAGGGGGAUAACUAUUGGAAACGGUAGCUAAUACCCCAUACUAUCAGAUGUGCCCAGAUGGGAUUAGCUAGUAGGUGGGGUAAUGGCUAACCAAGGCAACGAUCCCUAGCUGGUCUGAGAGGAUGACCAGCCACACUGGAACUGAGACACGGUCCAGACUCCUACGGGAGGCAGCAGUGGGGAAUAUUGCGCAAUGGGCGCAAGCCUGAUGCAGCCAUGCCGCGUGUAUGAAGAAGGCCUUCGGGUUGUAAAGUACUUUCAGCGAGGAGGCGGUACUCGCAGAAGAAGCAACGGCUAACUCCGUGCCAGCAGCCGCGGUAAUAC
rnacentral:rRNA from 1 species